AUUAGAAAUUCAGUUAGUCCAGUAUCAAAGUACAGUGAGUUGCUUGCAAGUCACUGAGGCGAUCUCAGGUCUAAGGGACACUUAUACCUAUAUCCCAUCAGAGAUAUUCUCGACAGUAGAAUACUCUGGAGUUGGUCACGUUUAAUGAUGAUGUACCCUUACAUCUCACCUGUAUGCCAUACCAGUGUCUCCACACUCCUUGGUUAAGAGGACAACCAACCCAUAUGGCCUACGGCGACCUAUGCUCGAUAGAAGCUGUCGUCCUUAUUAACAGCCUAUCAUUUGGUCGUGAACAGUUUUAAGGACUCAUCGAUAAAUCCUCUCUUUAUCGAACUCAAAUAGUCCUAAGGACUUCAUCAUAACAACGGAGUUCAUUAGAAGAUGAAAGCUUAUGAUGAAGAUGCCAAAUAUAUUUUAUUUAUUAACAAAUCAAUUACAAUACUUGGUUGCUCAACCGUCAACAGCUUGACGAUUGGCUUUUUGGGACACAUUUCCCAACACAGCCAUGUUAGGAACAAGAGGAGAACCUCGUCCUAACAUGAGCAAAGUUGAAGAUCCGAUUAUUAAGAGACCGGAUGGAGGGAGAGGCCCUCGCAAUGGCCCUUAUGCGCUCCCACUGCCAUGUUAGGAACAGGAGGAGAACCUCAUCCUAACAUGAGCAAAGUCGAAGAUCCGAUUAUUAAGAGAUCGGAUGGGGGGAGAGGCCCUCGCAACGACCCUUAUACACCCCCACAGCCAUGUUAGGAACAGGAGGAGAACCUCGUCCUAACAUGAGCAAAGUCGAAAACUCGAUUAUUAAG
rnacentral:lncRNA from 1 species